CCUACGGGGGGCAGCAGUAGGGAAUAUUGCUCAAUGGGGGAAACCCUGAAGCAGCAACGCCGCGUGGAGGAUGAAGGUUUUCGGAUUGUAAAGUCCUUUUGUUAGAGAAGAUAAUGACGGUAUCUAACGAAUAAGCACCGGCUAACGCCGUGCCAGCAGCCGCGGUCAUACGGAGGGUGCAAGCGUUACUCCGAAUCACUGGGCGUAAAGGGCGCGUAGGCGGUAUAGCAAGUCAGAUGUGAAAUCCUAUGGCUUCACCAUAGAACUGCAUUUGAAACUGUUAUUCUAGAGUAUGGGAGAGGUAGGUGGAAUUCUUGGUGUAGAGGUAAAAUCCGUAGAGAUCAAGAGGAAUACUCAUUGCGAAGGCGACCUGCUAGAACAUAACUGACGCUGAGGCGCGAAAGCGUGGGGAGCAAACAGGAUUAGAUACCCGAGUAGUC
rnacentral:rRNA from 1 species